rnacentral:rRNA from 1 species
UUGUUAUCACGCCUGCCCUGUGACUAUUGUUUAACGGCCGCGGUACUCUGACCGUGCGAAGGUAGCGCAAUCACUUGUCUUUUAAAUGAAGACCUGUAUGAAUGGCAUGACGAGGGCUAAGCUGUCUCCUUUUUCAAGUCAAUGAAAUUGAUCUCCCCGUGCAGAAGCGGGGAUACCUACAUAAGACGAGAAGACCCUAUGGAGCUUUAGACGUAAAGCAGGCCAUGUUAAGAAAACCCAAACAAGGGCCCGAACUUAGUGACUACUGCCCGAUUGUCUUUGGUUGGGGCGACCACGGAGCAAAAAGAAACCCCCGUGUGGAAGAGGGAUAACCCCCCUUAAACCCAGAGUGACAACUCUAACAAACAGAAUUUCUGACCAAUUCAUGAUCCGGCAAAGCCGAUCAACGAACCGAGUUACCCUAGGGAUAACAGCGCAAUCCUCUUCUAGAGCCCAUAUCGACAAGAGGGUUUACGACCUCGAUGUUGGAUCAGGACAUCCUAAUGGCGCAGCCGCUAUUAAGGGUUCGUUUGUUCAACGAUUAAAGUCCUACGUGAUCUGAGUUUCAGACCGGAAAAUUAAU